GACGAACGCUGGCGGCGUGCCUAAUACAUGCAAGUAGAACGCACAGUUUAUACCGUAGCUUGCUCCACCAUAGACUGUGAGUUGCGAACGGGUGAGUAACGCGUAGAUAACCUGCCUGGUAGCGGGGGAUAACUAUUGGAAACGAUAGCUAAUACCGCAUGAUAUUAAUUAUUGCAUGAUAAUUGAUUGAAAGUUGCAACUGCAUCACUACCAGAUGGACCUGCGUUGUAUUAGCUAGUAGGUGAGGUAACGGCUCACCUAGGCGACGAUACAUAGCCGACCUGAGAGGGUGAGCGGCCACACUGGGACGGGGACACGGCCCAGACGCCUACGGGAGGCAGCAGGAGGGAAUCUUCGGCAAUGGAAGAAAGUCUGACCGAGCAACGCCGCGUGAGUGAAGAAGGUUGUCGGAUCGUAAAGCUCUGUUGUAAGAGAAGAACGGGUGUGAGAGUGGAAAGUUCACACUGUGACGGUAUCUUACCAGAAAGCGACGGCUAACUACGUG
rnacentral:rRNA from 1 species